CUUUCGUUGAAGUCCCGCUGGAGCUUGUUAAGGUCCGGUUCCAGAAACCUAUAAACGCCACUGACACGCUGCUUUUCAUCCAGUUCGUGGCAAUCAGAUUUGUCGGGCUGGCUGAAGUCUGGACAGGUGACUUGCAGGUCUAUCGGACACGACUCCAAUCGAUCCCCCGGCUAAUUCGAUAAAAAAGCUGACAGCAAGGAACGGCCAGAAAAUGACAACACAUUCGACUCGGAAGCAUCGGAACACACACAGUCAGUCGGAAGGAAGUUGGAAUAUAUCGAACAAAACGGGAGGAGCCACUUACAUGGACAGGGAGCGCUGCUGGGUGUUGUUGUAGGUGACCAUUUCGUCGGCGGACUCUCCGCCCGAACUCGACUCCGUCGCGUCCGAAUCGAUGGCGUUCUGGACCUCUCGCAGCUCCGUGUGCAGGAGCCCGGCCACGUGGAACCCGAUGCUGCCGUCGUUCCACCUGGUGCCGUUGCCGCUGCCGUCGCUUCCAGUUGAUUCUUUCGCGGACGCUUGCCCAGGAUCGUGGUGGAGUUGGAGCUGUUGUACCAACUGGACGAUGGGGCCAGCGUUGCCGAACU